rnacentral:rRNA from 1 species
CCAAUAGCGUAUAUUAAAGUUGUUGCAGUUAAAAAGCUCGUAGUUGAAUUUCGGGGUCAAUAAGUUGGUCGUGCCAAUGGUAUGCACUGGCUUUAUUGAUUCCUACCUCUUGACGAACUGUGAUGCCAUUAAUUUGGUGUUGCAGGAAAUCAGGACUGUUACCUUGAAAAAAUUAGAGUGUUUAAAGCAGGCUUACGCUUGAAUACAUUAGCAUGGAAUAAUGAAAUAGGACGUUUGAACCUAUUUUGUUGGUUUCUAGGAUCGACGUAAUGAUUAAUAGGGAUAGUUGGGGGCAUUAGUAUUCAAUUGUCAGAGGUGAAAUUCUUGGAUUUAUUGAAGACUAACUACUGCGAAAGCAUUUGCCAAGGAUGUUUUCAUUAAUCAAGAACGAAAGUUAGGGGAUCGAAGACGAUCAGAUACCGUCGUAGUCUUAACCAUAAACUAUGCCGACUAGGGAUCGGAUGAUGUUAAUUUUUUAAUGACUCAUUCGGCGCCUUACG